rnacentral:misc_RNA from 1 species
UCGUGAAGCUGCUGAAUGUGCUGCUCGUGCAAUGAUGUCUCAACUCAGUGCACAAGGGGUUAAGCUUGUUCUUCCAUCACUUUUAAAGGGUCUUGAGGACAAAGCCUGGCGGACAAAGCAAAGCAGUGUACAGCUUCUUGGUGCGAUGGCUUACUGCGCUCCUCAACAAUUGUCGCAGUGUCUGCCCACAAUUGUGCCAAAACUGACAGAGGUAUUAACUGAUACUCAUCCCAAAGUCCAGUCAGCAGGACAAACGGCACUUCAGCAGGUUGGGAGUGUUAUAAAGAAUCCGGAAAUAUCUUCCCUUGUCCCUACACUUCUCAUGGGCCUUACAGAUCCCAAUGACUACACCAAAUAUUCCCUUGACAUUCUCCUCCAGACAACUUUUGUUAAUUCCAUUGAUGCCCCUUCACUCGCACUGCUGGUACCAAUAGUUCAUAGAGGGCUAAGAGAGCGAAGCGCUGAAACUAAAAAGAAAGCCGCACAAAUAGUUGGAAAUAUGUGUUCUUUAGUUACUGAACCAAAGGAUAUGAUUCCUUACAUAGGGCUGCUUCUUCCUGAAGUAAAAAAGGUUCUUGUGGAUCCAAUUCCAGAAGUUCGGUCUGUAGCAGCAAGGGCUCUUGGAUCACUUAUAAGAGGAAUGGGAGAAGAAAACUUCCCAGAUCUUGUCCCAUGGCUUUUUGAUACACUAAAAUCCGAUAAUAGUAAUGUCGAGCGCUCUGGAGCUGCUCAAGGGUUGAGUGAGGUUUUAGCUGCACUAGGAACGGAAUACUUUGAGAUUGUACUUCCUGAUAUUAUCCGAAACUGUUCUCAUCAGAGGGCAUCCGUACGUGAUGGAUAUUUGACACUUUUCAAGUAUUUGCCAAGGUCAUUAGGUGUUCAAUUCC